rnacentral:lncRNA from 1 species
UAAGAGUUGUAGAGUCGGAUGAGAGAGUCUUAUCCGGAGUUGUUUGUGUCCGUUUAUUUUUAAUGACGAAUAUCCUUUUAACUUAGGGAGAUUUGUAACACCCCAAAUUUAGUUAUUUAAUUUUAAUUAAAUUGAAUUGAAUUUAUUUUAUUUACUUGAGUGAUAUAUGUGUUUUAUUUGAAUUAUUGGUAAUUUAUUUAAUUUAAUUAAUAUUAGAAAUAUUAGAGAUAUUUUAUGCUUGGGAGAAA